rnacentral:rRNA from 1 species
AUGUGGGCUAUUUGGUGGGCGAGGAGAAGAGCUAUACAUGAUGAUGAAUUUCAGAGCCUUUUGUCUACCUUGAGCUUCAUAAACCGUUAUUUGGAGGACCUGAACAUAGCUACAGUUAUGAAGCCAGCCACCAAUACUACAACUCCAGAGAAGACAGGGGCGGCCGCAACGAUCUGCAGAGACAAAGAUGGCAACUAUCUCGGCGCGUCAGCUGUCACCAUUGACGGCCUAGUGGAUGCAGCGAGCCUUGAAGCACAUGCAUGCAGCGAGGCGCUUGCUCUAGCGAGAGAUCUAAACGUCACACAUGUGAUGAUAGCUCCAGACUGCAUGCAAGUGGUGAAGGAUAUAAACGGGAGUACACUAUCUUCAUACGCUUUGGUUAUAGAUGAAAUAAAGGAGUCCAUGAAUGACUUUGUAAAGGUUAGUUUUCGUUAUGAUUGUAGGGAAGCAAAUUUGGAAGCUCACGCCAUAGCUAAGGCGGCUUCAGCGUUUCCCUCUGGUCGGCGUUUGUGGCUAGGGACCUUGCCAGACAUUGCUUGUAUUGCUUCGGCUUUGAACUUUGAA